UACGUAGGGUGCAAGCGUUAAUCGGAAUUACUGGGCGUAAAGCGUGCGCAGGCGGUUCGCUAAGACAGAUGUGAAAUCCCCGGGCUUAACCUGGGAACUGCAUUUGUGAUUGGCGGGCUAGAGUAUGGCAGAGGGGGGUAGAAUUCCACGUGUAGCAGUGAAAUGCGUAGAGAUGUGGAGGAAUACCGAUGGCGAAGGCAGCCCCCUGGGCCAAUACUGACGCUCAUGCACGAAAGCGUGGGGAGCAAACAGG
rnacentral:rRNA from 1 species